rnacentral:rRNA from 1 species
AUUGAACGCUGGCGGCAGGCUUAACACAUGCAAGUCGAGCGGAGAUGAGGUGCUUGCACCUUAUCUUAGCGGCGGACGGGUGAGUAAUGCUUAGGAAUCUGCCUAUUAGUGGGGGGCAACAUUCCGAAAGGAAUGCUAAUACCGCAUACGUCCUACGGGAGAAAGCAGGGGACCUUCGGGCCUUGCGCUAAUAGAUGAGCCUAAGUCGGAUUAGCUAGUUGGUGGGGUAAAGGCCUACCAAGGCGACGAUCUGUAGCGGGUCUGAGAGGAUGAUCCGCCACACUGGGACUGAGACACGGCCCAGACUCCUACGGGAGGCAGCAGUGGGGAAUAUUGGACAAUGGGCGGAAGCCUGAUCCAGCCAUGCCGCGUGUGUGAAGAAGGCCUUUUGGUUGUAAGGCACUUUAAGCGAGGAGGAGGCUACUAGUACUAAUACUACUGGAUAGUGGACGUUACUCGCAGAAUAAGCACCGGCUAACUCUGUGCCAGCCGCCGCGGUAACAC